AUUGAGCUAAGAUUGCAGGCGCGUGAACUGUUCACACCACCAAAAAUGUAUCUUUAGCCAAAUCUGAAUUAAUCUGUUCAGAAUGAACAAGCAGAAUAGUCUUUGGAUUUGAUCCAAAUCCCUGAAGCACUUUGGGAAUGAGAAUGGCUAUGCCAGACAGAGAGACCCUGGCGACUUAUGAUACUGCAGAACACAACAGGCACUUCAGAUUGGUCCCAGUAUUGAAUUUAUUUGCAGUUAAGUUGAGGGAGAGCAGUGAUAUUGAGCAGUCAGCUAAAGAAACAAAGCUGUAGAGAGUCAGGAAGCACGUGAGCCUACAGCUGAACUUCACUGUAGAAAGUUGUAAGGAAAAGGCCAAGAACUGAAGCAGAAGAGCAAGCAAGAAAGAAAAUUCUCUGCAGGCUCUGUCUUGCACUGGAGUUGCUACCUUUAGCCCAGUGGAUCACUGUGCUUGAAAUUCCCACAUUAUUCAUUCUGCAGAGUUAAGACAUAAAGUAAGAUCCUGACAAAAGAGUCUUUCCUUUGACCAGAACUCACUAUUUAGCCAGAGUCGGAAGGCAACAAAUACUUGAAAAAUGGCAGGUGCCGUGAUGAGAUGCAAUAAAAGGAGCAUCUUUAGUGCCAGAUGUGGGGAAACAAAGAAGAAUUAUAUACAAUUCCUGAUCUUAAGACAUUUAGUGGCAUUGGAAGACGGACAAUUACAAGUUUAAAUGACUGACGUCGUAAAGUUACAUACACAGUGCACAGGCAAGAUAGCAGAAAAGAUGUCUUAGUUGAGGUUCUACUGAAGCAGACCCUGAGAUUCAAAUGCAAGUAGUGCUUUUGAAAAUGUGGCAUGAGGACGUUAGGUCUGGAACUCCUGCAGGUCUUUCUUUUGGAAAGGAAGCUAGAAAGAGGACAAAGCUGACUCAGAAGGAGGGCGGAGCUGAGAGCACAUGGAGAAACAGACAUGGUGGACUUCUGGAAGUCAACAUUGUUUCUGUACAUCUAUUUUUUCCUUUAUUUCUUUUUGUUUGUUUGUUUAAGAAAUUUGAAUCAGAUUUACUCUUAUUUCUAAUCAAAAGCAUCAUAACCAACAUAAUUUUUUUUUUUCUAACAUCUUGGGGCCUAAAAUCCCUCUGGCUUAUGGACUCUGGGUUUAUAAAUUUAAUCACCUCUG
ensembl:lncRNA novel transcript